rnacentral:rRNA from 1 species
AGCAGUCGCCACGGUAAUACAGAGGGUGCGAGCGUUAAUCAGAUUUACUGGGCGUAAAGCGUGCGUAGGCGGCUUCUUAAGUCGGAUGUGAAAUCCCUGAGCUUAACUUAGGAAUUGCAUUCGAUACUGGGAAGCUAGAGUAUGGGAGAGGAUGGUAGAAUUCCAGGUGUAGCGGUGAAAUGCGUAGAGAUCUGGAGGAAUACCGAUGGCGAAGGCAGCCAUCUGGCCUAAUACUGACGCUGAGGUACGAAAGCAUGGGGAGCAAACAGGAUUAGAGACCCCUGUAGUCCCUGUCUCUUAUAC